AUUGAACGCUGGCGGCAGGCCUAACACAUGCAAGUCGAACGAGUGGCGGACGGGUGAGUAAUGUCUGGGAAACUGCCUGAUGGAGGGGGAUAACUACUGGAAACGGUAUCUAAUACCGCAUACCAUCCGAUUUGCCCCGAUGGGAUGAGCUAGUAGGUGGGGUAACGGCUAACCUAGGCGACGAUCCCUAGCUGGUCUGAGAGGAUGACCAGCCAAACUGGAACGGAGACACGGUCCAGACUACUACGGGAGGCAGCAGUGGGGAAUAUUGCACAAUGGGCGCAAGCCUGAUGAAGCCAUGCCGCGUGUAGGAAGAAGGCCUGCGGGUUGUAAAGUACUUUCAGCGAGGAGGCGUUACUCGCAGAAGAAGCACCGGCUAACUCCGUGCCAGCAGCCGCGGUAAUAC
rnacentral:rRNA from 1 species